CCACCUUUGACAUGUACGGAAUCCUUUAGAGAUAGAGGAGUGCUCGAAAGAGAACCGUAACACAGGUGCUGCAUGGCUGUCGUCAGCUCGUGUCGUGAGAUGUUGGGUUAAGUCCCGCAACGAGCGCAACCCUUGUCAUUAGUUGCUACAUUUAGUUGGGCACUCUAAUGAGACUGCCGGUGACAAACCGGAGGAAGGUGGGGAUGACGUCAAGUCCUCAUGGCCCUUAUAGGUGGGGCUACACACGUCAUACAAUGGAUGGUACAAAGGGUCGCCAACCCGCGAGGGGGAGCCAAUCCCAUAAAGCCAUUCGUAGUCCGGAUCGUAGUCUGCAACUCGACUACGUGAAGUCGGAAUCGCUAGUAAUCGUGGAUCAGAAUGUCACGGUGAAUACGUUCC
rnacentral:rRNA from 1 species